GAUGAACGCUAGCGGCAGGCUUAACACAUGCAAGUCGAGGGGUAGAGGCUUUCGGGUCUUGAGACCGGCGCACGGGUGCGUAACGCGUAUGCAAUCUGCCUUGUACUGGGGGAUAGCCCAGAGAAAUUUGGAUUUAUACCCCAUAGUAUUUUCGGUUGGCAUCAACUGAUUAUUAAAGUUUUUCGGUACAAGGUGAGCAUGCGUCCCAUUAGCGAGUUGGUAUGGUAACGGCAUACCAAGGCUACGAUGGGUAGGGGUCCUGAGAGGGAGAUCCCCCACACUGGUACUGAGACACGGACCAGACUCCGACGGGAGGCAGCAGUGAGGAAUAUUGGUCAAUGGUCGCAAGACUGAACCAACCAUGCCGCGUGCAGGAUGAAGCAUCUAUGGUGUGUAAACUGCUUUUGUACGGGAAGAAACACUGCUACGUGUAGCAGCUUGACGGUACCGUAAGAAUAAGGAUCGGCUAACUCCGUGCCAGCCGCCGCAGUAAGAC
rnacentral:rRNA from 1 species